UACGUAGGGGGCAAGCGUUGUCCGGAUUUAUUGGGCGUAAAGAGCGUGUAGGCGGCCAGGUAGGUCCGUUGUGAAAACUCGAGGCUCAACCUCGAGACGUCGGCGGAAACCCUCUGGCUAGAGUCCGGAAGAGGAGAGUGGAAUUCCUGGUGUAGCGGUGAAAUGCGCAGAUAUCAGGAAGAACACCCGUGGCGAAGGCGGCUCUCUGGGACGGUACUGACGCUGAGACGCGAAAGCGUGGGGAGCAAACGGG
rnacentral:rRNA from 1 species